rnacentral:lncRNA from 1 species
GUAAUGAACUUUAUAGGAUAAAUAUAAACCUAUACCAAUGCUACAAGAUUUAUCAAAUUAUAUAACCAUCAAAUCACAAAUGAGUAGUCUAUCAACAUCAUAUAUAUUUUUCAUUCCUAUCAUAAUAGAAUUUUAUAAGACAUAUUACAACAUCAUUAACCUUUUCAUAAGACUAUGAACUGCUUCCUUUACUUACUUGCC